AAAGUCGUAACAAGGUUUCCGUAGGUGAACCUGCGGAAGGAUCAUUACAGAGUUCAUGCCCUUCGGGGUAGAUCUCCCACCCUUGUGUAUCAUUAUAGAAUGUUGCUUUGGCGGGCCGCGCUUCGUGCGCCUAGAUUCGCGUCUAGCGUGCCCGCCAGAGGACCCCCAAACUCUGAAUUGUUAGUGUCGUCUGAGUACUAUUAAAUAGUUAAAACUUUCAACAACGGAUCUCUUGGUUCUG
rnacentral:misc_RNA from 1 species